UGGCAGGAGAGGGACAGUCUGACAAAAUGGCAUCUGAUGUGGAAGUGCAUAUGAAACAAAGACAGCCAUUUCCACUCAACUCCAUUGCAGAUUGGCAGAUCAGAGCAGAGAGGACGGCACAGAAAGAAAAUCAGCAGAUACAGGGACAACAGAGUUACAGAAGACGGUGACAAAAUGCAGAGAAUACUGAGGGUGUUGUAGAAGUUUAUAUCAAGAGAAAGAACCCCAAGCACUCAGAAUCUCCUCAAAGCCAGAGUUCGGAAGAGACCCCAGAGAAAGGCUGCCUUGGUCUAUGCAUUUACAGGCUUUAAGGAUCUUCUGAUCAGGAUCUAUUUUAUCAUGUCAAUGUGUUACAACAACACAGUCCUUCCUAUUGUCUCCUGAAUAAACCUACUCAGACUAGUUUAAAAAUACAAGCCAAACCCUAUGUUUGUAGUGAGUCCUAUCACUUGCUUGAGCUUCAAAAAUGGAAACUAUGUUGUUAACUAAACUAAACAACUGAAAGGAAAGAUGAGACUAAGCAUUUGUCCUAACUGGAAAUUUCUGCUGUACACAGCAGCAAAACAUAGACUACAAUAGGAGGGAGGAGCCAGUGUAAUUGCCUUUUCCUGUGAUCUCUAGAUUUUCAAGUGAAAGGAUCAUGUCUAGGGUUCUGUGCCCAUUUUUUUGUCAUAAGAUCUCAGUACGUAGAUGUCUUUUUUUCUACUCUUAAUUUGCCUGGAGCAAGGCUUUUAUCUAGACUUUUAGCCAUGAGGCACCUGCUGAAAUAUUCAUUGGCAGAAAUUGUGCCAUGGGUGUUUUUCCCCAUUUGUCCAGUACUGUGUCAUUAAAAUAAGGUUGAGUACAAUGAAAAUAGGAUUUGACACAGAAGAAUGGCAUCCUCUCAAAAACGUAUAUAAUAGGCAGUUAACCCUUUUCUGUGCAAGAAUUUAAGUACUAAAAACUACUGUAUAGUUCUCUUUAGUCAAUGGUCCUUUCCCACCAAUCCAAAAUGGAAUUGAAGAUUAUAACUUCAAUUUGUGUGAGACUCAAGUUUGCAAGAUUUUUGAGAAUGAUGUGAAGAUUUUGAUUAUUGAUUUUUGUACUGGUCUCUAACUGAAGGUAAUAAUCACUUGGCAAAUUUGAGGAAAAUAUUUGAGAAAAUGCAAAAAAAAAAAACCCAGAAACUUUAAAAUUUUAUAAUGUGUACCUAAACCUAAAUAUCCAUCCUUCUUUCCUUCCUUGCUGCUUUAUUUUUUUUCCUUUCUGCCUGCCUUGCCUUUUCCCAGUGCUUAGGUAAUAUAAAAUGAUUUAAAAGACACUUGUUUUGGAUGUAGUUCUGAAAAUGGGAGUGACAGGUUUCAGAAAUCUCAGAGGAUAAAAAUAAUAUUGAAUGAAAGAGUACCUCAAGUAUAUGCAAUUAAGCUUGGAAUACUUGUGACCUUAUACAAGACUGGCCUCAUAGCUUACCAGUUAGCUUUGCUUUGAGCCAGGGUCAGGCUGGGUGAACUCUCAAUGUCCCUUCUGACCAAAAAUUGUUCUCUGAUUCUGUUUUAUGAUUCUAAUAUGAACAGAUACUCAGUGUACAGGAAGCAAGAAGUAUUUUUUAAAAACUGAGUUUCAUAUUUAAUCAGUUUGACUGUAGCAAAGUAUGAUAUUACUUCACCCUAUGUUUGAGGAUCUAAUCCGAGGUCUUAUCUGAUUGUCUUCACAGGAACAUAAAUCCAAUGACAUACAAGCAAUUUCCUGGUAAACAUACUGGAAACUUACUUUCAUGGUUCAUGUAGGAUUCUGUUACCUGAUAACACAGGCAUA